GGCUUGUGUAGCUUACUUACACAUCGAUCUUUCCAUACACAAACCCUCCCAACAUUUUGCCAAGUUUUGAUUUAUCAGCAAUGGGUUAGAUUUAUGAGUUGAUGACACUGAUAUAGUUUCUGUAAUAUGGAGCUCGGAAUUGUAGCUCUAGCUCCAGGGACUGACGAUUUUUCAAAUAGUUUUAAUAUUUGGAGAUGUACUCUAGUGAAAAAUAGUUGGCAAUCAAGAUUGUGUAUUUUCUCCAUUCAUUUGGGAGCAUUGAACUAGUAAUGUUGUCUGCAAUGUUGUCUGCAGUGUGUGAAUUAG
rnacentral:misc_RNA from 1 species